rnacentral:rRNA from 1 species
AGCAGUCGCCGCGGUAAUACGGAGGGUGCAAGCGUUAAUCGGAAUUACUGGGCGUAAAGCGCACGCAGGCGGUCUGUCAAGUCAGAUGUGAAAUCCCCGGGCUUAACCUGGGAACUGCAUUUGAAACUGGCAGGCUAGAGUCUUGUAGAGGGGGGUAGAAUUCCAGGUGUAGCGGUGAAAUGCGUAGAGAUCUGGAGGAAUACCGGUGGCGAAGGCGGCCCCCUGGACAAAGACUGACGCUCAGGUGCGAAAGCGUGGGGAGCAAACAGGAUUAGAUACCCGUGUAGUCCCUGUCUCUUAUAC